CACUCCUGCGGGAGGCAGCAGUGGGGAAUAUUGCACAAUGGGCGCAAGCCUGAUGCAGCCAUGCCGCGUGUAUGAAGAAGGACUUCGGGUUGUAAAGUACUUUCAGCGGGGAGGAAGGUGUUGAGGUUAAUAACCUCAGCAAUUGACGUUACCCGCAGAAGAAGCACCGGCUAACUCCGUGCCAGCAGCCGCGGUAAUACGGAGGGUGCAAGCGUUAAUCGGAAUUACUGGGCGUAAAUCGCACGCAGGCGGUCUGUCAAGUCGGAUGUGAAAUCCCCGGGCUCAACCUGGGAACUGCAUUCGAAACUGGCAGGCUAGAGUCUUGUAGAGGGGGGUAGAAUUCCAGGUGUAGCGGUGAAAUGCGUAGAGAUCUGGAGGAAUACCGGUGGCGAAGGCGGCCCCCUGGACAAAGACUGACGCUCAGGUGCGAAAGCGUGGGGAGCAAAUAGGAUUAGAAACCCGAGUAGUCCCAUGGU
rnacentral:rRNA from 1 species